AACAUAUCAAUAAGCGGAGGAAAAGAAACUAACAAGGAUUCCCCUAGUAACUGCGAGUGAAGCGGGAAAAGCUCAAAUUUAAAAUCUGGUGGUCUUUUGGCCGUCCGAGUUGUAAUUUAGAGAAGCGUCUUCCGCGCUGGACCGUACACAAGUCUCCUGGAACGGAGCGUCAUAGAGGGUGAGAAUCCCGUCUUUGGUACGGACCCCCAGGGCUUCUGUGAUGCGCUCUCGAAGAGUCGAGUUGUUUGGGAAUGCAGCUCAAAAUGGGUGGUGAACUCCAUCUAAAGCUAAAUAUUGGCGAGAGACCGAUAGCGAACAAGUACCGUGAGGGAAAGAUGAAAAGCACUUUGGAAAGAGAGUGAAACAGUACGUGAAAUUGUUGAAAGGGAAACGCUUGAAGUCAGUCGCGUCCGCCGAGACUCAGCCUCGCUCCGGCUUGGCGUAUUUCUCGGUCGACGGGUCAGCAUCAAUUUCGUCCCUCGGAUAAUGGCGAGGGAAAGGUGGCACCUUUGCGGGUGUGUUAUAGUCUUUCGUCGCAUGCGAGGGGUGAGAUUGAGGAACUCAGCACGCGCGCCCUCUGGGGUGUGUCGGGGCCUCGGCCCACGCCACGUGCUUAGGAUGCUGGCGUAAUGGCUUUAAACGACCCGUCUUGAAACACGGACCAAGGAGUCUAACAUGCCCGCGAGUGUUCGGGUGGAAAACCCGUGCGCGUAAUGAAAGUGAAAGUUGGGACCUUCGUCGUGAAGGGCACCGACGCCCGGACCAGACCUUCUGUGACGGAUCUGCGGUGGAGCGUGCAUGUUGGGACCCGAAAGAUGGUGAACUAUGCCUGAAUAGGGUGAAGCCAGAGGAAACUCUGGUGGAGGCUCGUAGCGAUUCUGACGUGCAAAUCGAUCGUCAAAUUUGGGUAUAGGGGCGAAAGACUAAUCGAACCAUCUAGUAGCUGGUUCCUGCC
rnacentral:rRNA from 1 species